rnacentral:lncRNA from 1 species
AUGGUCCCCACAUGGUCACCUUUGAACAGUUGUCCCCCAGUGGUGGCAGUGUUAAGGGGUGCUAUAAAAACUCAAAGAGAUAGGGGCCUAGACGGAGGUCGUAGGUCACUUGGGGGACAUGUCUUAGGGAUCAUCCUGACUUCUGAUAAAAUUUCUUUGCUUCUCGUCCUCCCAGUUAUGGAUACAACCUCUCCUGUCACCAUGCCACACACCUUUCACAUCAAGAAACUGAGCAAAGUUCCGAAGAGUGACUGUCUUAAAGCAGUUCAAAUCUGUGGCUCUGCAGCUGUAAUCAAAACCAGCGGGGGAGUCCCUGACUUAUAUCCCUGGCAGAGAACUCCUGGAAUGCAUAAUGCAUACGGAAGAGUUGAAAUUCAGUCAUUCUUCAGGCUGCUUAGCACCACUGUGCACAGAAGACGAUGA